rnacentral:rRNA from 1 species
UUUUAUGGAGAGUUUGAUCCUGGCUCAGGACGAACGCUGGCGGCGUGCCUAAUACAUGCAAGUCGAGCGAACGUC